rnacentral:sRNA from 1 species
GAUUAUAGAUGAUCGGCUAAAACCGUCUCGUCCUGAGACAACGCCGAUCUGACCCACAUCGUGUGGG